CUAACCUAACUAACCUAACCUAACCUAAACGUAACCCCCACUACCAAAUGACAACUUAUUUAAAUGCGCAUUACUUAACACUGGAUUUUUGUAAACUUUAACAUAACGUUUCACAAAAACAAAUGAUAGUAACUGAUCAAGUUUGGUAUUAAAAUUGUUAUAUUGAUAUGGGCUUAAUGUUGAUAUGUUUUAAAACCAUUAAAAAAUGGUUUAAUGUUUUUAGAGUCGUUUCAAAUUAGUUUCGAAAAGUCUUCUAAGUUCUAAUUCCCAAGAUAUAUUAUGUACAUUUUAUUCCAAUCCGUCUAUGAAUAUUCUUUUACAUAUGAAUAUAUAUAUAUAUAUUUAUAUUAUACAG